rnacentral:lncRNA from 1 species
CCGCCCCGCCCCCAUCUCCCCCUCCCAACCGCUCCAGGUGAGAGCUCACCUGACGCCGCGCCUGCCUGGGGACGCGGCGGCGGAACGUGAAGCCCCCCGGGCCUGGAGAGGCUGGGAUGGGGUCCGAGGUGGGGACGAAGGAGUUUGUGCUUCUCCCGGGCGGGGGGAAGGGACGCACAGGAUUCUCUCCCCGGAGGUACAAGGGGUGGGGGGCGUAGAAGGAGGGCGGCGCCUGGAGUCUGUGGAGAAGCCGCGCGGGGUCCGCUCCGCUGCCCGGCGGUCCCGGUCUCUGCCCCGGUCCCGGGACUCUUUGAGGGCGGGGCCGGGUCCUGACGCAGAGCCGCUCUCCCGGAGCGGGAGAUCCACGUCUAUUGGCUGGGGGACCCUGCUGCCCGGCAAAAAGGGGUCCCUUAGAGCGGAGGAGGGAAAGAGAACCCGCUUUCCCAACGCGAGACUGUGUCCAGGGCGAGAUGCAAAGCGUGCCCUCGGUGGGCGUUUGACAAAGCGCUGCUGACGUUCCUGGGACAAAAAUCCAGAUUCUCUGGUCAGCGGGGCAGGUCGAGUGCGGUGGGGGUGGGAGGCCAGGGAGGAACCUACUUUCCACAGUGUGCCAGAAAGUCUGUCAGACCGGAUGGGUGUCUCUCUCUCUGGCUUAUUCUUUUUAAAAGUUUACCCCCAAUUCCUGCGGCAAAGGUGCAGUGAUCAAGGCAGUGGGAGGCACCAGUCAGGGAGCGAGGCAUACAGCAAAUGACCCAAACGAAAUUAAAAAUGUUUUUGAGAGUCCGGAACACUGGGUCAAAUCAAGCAAAACAAAAUAUAGCUUGCACUGAAUGUCAAGAUCUGCAUGUAAGUUUCCCAAAAAAAUCAGCCAUGCGUGCAGAACGUCAGGUGACAGCAACCUUGGCCUUGUGGGUGGACGCCAGCUUGACGAGGGGCUGGGAGACCGGCCGGGAGAUGGGAGCUGCGAUGUUAGGUGACGUUAGUAAAGGAAGCCCACCUCCCCCACGCCCCACCCCCGGCUGUAGUGAGCCUCGCUGAGCUCAGUCUCCUUGUCAAAUGAGUGGAGUGAUUAGAUGAUCCAUGAUCUUUCACGACUCUGUCAGUCUAUCAAAUCUCAUGAUUCUAUUUACUGAGGCACACAACCCAGUGUGGUGGGCAGACAGCUGGCAUCAAAUCAUGUAAAUUAUGAACCCCAAAUAUGAAGUGGAGGUGAUGACAAAUAUCUCCCAGGAUUUUCGUACAGAUAGGAGUGGUGCCAAAGGCCCAGCAGGUGCUGGCCCUCAACGUUGGGUUGUUAUAACUGCAGGCAGGACCAGUUGUGUGCUGGUAAGUGAUUACGUGCUUUCAGGGGGUGGAUGGGUAUCUGAUUUGUAUCGUUUGCUGAUUUCCGUGCUGUAAAUAUUCCCACCAUGGCUGAUUCCAAGCUACAUAGAGUGUGGCGUCAUCCUGCUCUCCAGAGCUAGGGAGGGAUUUGCACAGUGGGCCCUGCAAGCCAGUCUGAGCGGUUCCAGCACACCACUGGUGAGACCCUGAACGAGGCUCAGUGAGGCCCCGUAGGAGGGGCCAAGCUGGACCAGUGUGAGUCAGACAGGAGAAAGAGUCCCCACCAAGCCCCAGCCGUGCGCAAGGCACCCGAGUGCGGGCCGGUGAGGAGGGAGCACGUCCAGGUCCAGCUUGAGCUACCCCAGCUGCCCCUCCUGUCCGAAAGCACGCGCCGUAUACACAAGCACGCACAAGCAUGCACCCGCCUGGAAAGGUGGGGGAAGAGGGCAGAGCACAUUCUCCCCAAGUGAUGCAUUUUCAACAUUUCAUAAAAGUUAGAUGUUGACAUCUGAUGGCUAAGGAUGUGAUGUAAAGAAAUUGGAGGAAGCACCAAAGAUUCGAUGGAAAUAUCUGUGGCUGGAUAGUAAGAUACACAGAAAAUAUCCAGAUGGAUGUUUUUGAACCCCCGCUAGCCAAUGGCACGGAUGCCACCCUCGGGCUCCUUCCUCCUGAUGUUAGAACUGUGCAGGUCUCUGCCUGCUGGGCUGACCCCUAGCUUGCCCAUGAAGGCUCAGAGUUCUGCUUCUGUCUUUCUGGUCAACAGGGCAUCGCAGAACUGCCCAGGUGGCAGCACCUGUUACUGAUAAUAAUUCCAACAGCGGCUCCCGUGUACCAAGCUCUACGUGUGUGCCAGGCUCGGCACAUAGCUUCACUGAAGCCUCGAGCCCCCUGUGAGGUUGGGGCAAUCGUUAUCCCCAUUGCACAGGCAAAGCGCCAAGGAAAGGUUCGACUUUGGGGUGCUUUACGAUAGGAUGGUGUUCCACACAAGGCAUGGCUCCUAAUACAGCUCCAAAGAAAGAAAAAUGGAAGAAGGAAAGGAAGGAGAAAGGUCCAGUGUCAAGGUUUACCGCAGUCUCUCCCUCUUGGCUUCUAUCACCGGGUUGUGCCAACCUUCCUCUUCUUGACCAGGCAUUCAGCGUGUUAUGGCCUGGGUGUAAUACCACAGGUCUCCAAUAGGGGUCGCUGACUACAACAGGAUGGGACACCUGUAGUUGAACGGAGAGAACCCUGGGUCCUAACUUAACCUUGUCCUUGGCUUCCUCUAUGACCUCGGUUUCCUCAUCCAUAAAGUGGAUAUAACAGUCCCUAGCUGCCUUCCUCACAGAACAGUGGUGAGAAAUGUGAGGAUGAAAGUGAACACCUUCCAUUCAGAAGAGGCAGCUUCCAUCCAGAUGUUUUCAAAAAACCAGUCAUCCCAUAAUUACUUUUUGAGCGUCACUCACCGUGCCAGGUGCCAUAUGGAAUCCAGAAAUUACUUCUACCUUCGCAUAAAAGAACUUUGAAUAAAAGUUUAAAGCAAACUGUAACCCUGACAGUCGGGGGAGAGGCUCGAGCGCUCCCUGGUGGGUGGAAACAGCAGCAUCCCCUGCCCCGGGAAAGAUGAGGGGAUGUGAAGCAGCAGGACGUCUACUUCAGCCUGUGGCUGGAAGUCUCUCGCAUCCAGUAACUCAUCUCUUCCUCUCACAACCCGGUUUGCGCAUGGGGAAACCGAGGCACAGCGAAGCGAAGUGACCUGCCCGAGAACCUGGAUUCCAGGAACCUCCCAGCCAGCUAAUCCCAGAACAUGGAGUGGAAAGGGACAGCACGGGAAGACAAGUGACCCGAGCGGGCAG